AUGGCAGAUGUGUUGUUCCUGUUCGGUCUGUCACUCACCCUGGUGCUCAUAGUCAUUGUCAACAUGCAUUUAAAGAGAAUGACCCGAGAGGCUUUGGAAGAUGAGGAGAAAGAGCAGCAGAAGAAGCGCGAUGCAGCCCGCGCGACUCUCAUGGGAGGAGGGAGUACAGGCAAGGCACUGCACCUCUCUCCUGAGGAGAUGAAGAAGAACUCGGAGAGGCUGUACGAGCUCUUCGGCCACGGAAUUGUACCGACCCAGAAGACCGCCGCGGGACCACAGAAGCCUCCCGCUGAGGUGCCAAAGCGUCCUACCGGUCCACGUCCUGCAGCCCGGAAACCGGUGCCAAGCGUUGAUCCAGAGCAGGUCCCCAAGAGAGAAGGUGAGCAGAUCCUCUCAGAGACUGAACAAGUAGUAGAAGAAGCCUAGUAAACAGGCAUCCCGGGGGCCACCGCACCAUUGGCACGCGAGGGGUGAGUGACUGAUACUUUCUGAAAGCAGACAGACGACCCUUGACAUUUCGGUCGCUCACACAGGAGCAGCAAGGAGCAGUGUUUCAAACUAUUCCGUCACUUUAAACUCGUUUCAAUUGUAACGCAGCUCCAACUUAAAAAAAAUCUUAUUAUAUAUUCUUUCUUAUAGCAACUUACAAGACGUUUACAAAAUGUACCUGGCCUACACAUAUAUCAAGCAACUCAUCAGGAACCUGAUGAACAUUACAUACUGUUUCAAGAUGAUUUAAUUCUAUUUUUACAGAGUGCUCUUCUCAUACAGUGUGGUUGAUGAACACAAAAUAAAACUCCCAUAUAUAAAGAUUUAAUUGAUGAU
rnacentral:lncRNA from 1 species